AUUGAACGCUGGCGGCAGGCCUAACACAUGCAAGUCGAGCGGAUGAAGGGAGCUUGCUCCUGGAUUCAGCGGCGGACGGGUGAGUAAUGCCUAGGAAUCUGCCUGGUAGUGGGGGAUAACGUCCGGAAACGGGCGCUAAUACCGCAUACGUCCUGAGGGAGAAAGUGGGGGAUCUUCGGACCUCACGCUAUCAGAUGAGCCUAGGUCGGAUUAGCUAGUUGGUGGGGUAAAGGCCUACCAAGGCGACGAUCCGUAACUGGUCUGAGAGGAUGAUCAGUCACACUGGAACUGGGACACGGUCCAGACUCCUACGGGAGGCAGCAGUGGGGAAUAUUGGACAAAGGGCGAAAGCCUGAUCCAGCCAUGCCGCGUGUGUGAAGAAGGUCUUCGGAUUGUAAAGCACUUUAAGGUGGGAGGAAGGGCAGUAAGUUAAUACCUUGCUGUUUUGACGUUACCAACAGAAUAAGCACCGGCUAACUUCGUG
rnacentral:rRNA from 1 species